ACGGAGGGUGCAAGCAUUGAUCGGAAUUACUGGGCGUAAAGGGCGCGUAGGCGGCUGAGAAAGUCAGAUGUGAAAUUCCGGGGCUCAACCCCGGAGCUGCAUUUGAAACUUCUCAACUAGAGUACAGUUAGGGAAAACGGAAUUCCACGUGUAGCGGUGAAAUGCGUAGAUAUGUGGAAGAACACCGGUGGUGAAGACGGUUUUCUGGGCUGUAACUGACGCUGAGGCGCGAAAGCUAGGGGAGCAAACAGGA
rnacentral:rRNA from 1 species